rnacentral:rRNA from 1 species
AGUCGACGAUGAACCCAGCUUGCUGGNNNNAUUAGUGGCGAACGGGUGAGUAACACGUGGGUGAUCUGCCCUGCACUUCGGGAUAAGCCUGGGAAACUGGGUCUAAUACCGGAUACGACCAAAGGCUGCAUGGUUUUUGGUGGAAAGGUUUACCGGUGCAGGAUGAGCCCGCGGCCUAUCAGCUUGUUGGUGGGGUAAUGGCCUACCAAGGCGACGACGGGUAGCCGGCCUGAGAGGGCGACCGGCCACACUGGGACUGAGACACGGCCCAGACUCCUACGGGAGGCAGCAGUGGGGAAUAUUGCACAAUGGGCGAAAGCCUGACGCAGCGACGCCGCGUGAGGGAUGACGGCCUUCGGGUUGUAAACCUCUUUCAGCAGGGACGAAGCGCAAGUGACGGUACCUGCAGAAGAAGCACCGGCCAACUACGUGCCAGCAGCCGCGGUAAUACGUAGGGUGCGAGCGUUGUCCGGAAUUACUGGGCGUAAAGAGCUCGUAGGCGGUUUGUCGCGUCGUCUGUGAAAACCCGCAGCUCAACUGCGGGCUUGCAGGCGAUACGGGCAGACUUGAGUACUGCAGGGGAGACUGGAAUUCCUGGUGUAGCGGUGAAAUGCGCAGAUAUCAGGAGGAACACCGGUGGCGAAGGCGGGUCUCUGGGCAGUAACUGACGCUGAGGAGCGAAAGCGUGGGUAGCGAACAGGAUUAGAUACCCUGGUAGUCCACGCCGUAAACGGUGGGCGCUAGGUGUGGGUUUCCUUCCACGGGAUCCGUGCCGUAGCUAACGCAUUAAGCGCCCCGCCUGGGGAGUACGGCCGCAAGGCUAAAANNCAAAGGAAUUGACGGGGGCCCGCACAAGCGGCGGAGCAUGUGGAUUAA